CGGAUGACCUGCUUGCUGGGCUACCCAUUACUGAUUCUUGAGCUGAUUGAAAUCAACCAGUCUGAGUUAGUUCUCUUGGUUAGGGAGUUAUUUGGGUGGUAACGAAGCAGUGGACCAGGCAAUCAAUCGAGCACACCAUUGAGACAUGGAUCAACCUCCACUGAUUGACGGAGUAGUGCUGACUAAGAUUGACACCAUUGAUGAUAAACAAAGUGAGGACCACUGACUGAUGAGGGAAUUGCUCUACU